AUGAACGCUAGCGGCGUGCCUAAUACAUGCAAGUCGAGCGAACAGACGAGGAGCUUGCUCCUCUGACGUUAGCGGCGGACGGGUGAGUAACACGUGGAUAACCUACCUAUAAGACUGGGAUAACUUCGGGAAACCGGAGCUAAUACCGGAUAAUAUAUUGAACCGCAUGGUUCAAUAGUGAAAGACGGUUUUGCUGUCACUUAUAGAUGGAUCCGCGCCGCAUUAGCUAGUUGGUAAGGUAAUGGCUUACCAAGGCAACGAUGCGUAGCCGACCUGAGAGGGUGAUCGGCCACACUGGAACUGAGACACGGUCCAGACUCCUACGGGAGGCAGCAGUAGGGAAUCUUCCGCAAUGGGCGAAAGCCUGACGGAGCAACGCCGCGUGAGUGAUGAAGGUCUUCGGAUCGUAAAACUCUGUUAUUAGGGAAGAACAAAUGUGUAAGUAACUAUGCACGUCUUGACGGUACCUAAUCAGAAAGCCACGGCUAACUACGUG
rnacentral:rRNA from 1 species